UUCUGACCGUAAACAAUGCCAACUAGCGAUCCGCCGGCGGAUUUCAUCGCCCUGGUGGGGAGCUUCCCGGAAACGAAAGUCUUCCGGUUCCGGGGGAAGUAUGGUUGCAAAGCUGAAACUUAAAGGAAUUGACGGAAGGGCACCACCAGGAGUGGAGCCUGCGGCUUAAUUUGACUCAACACGGGGAAACUCACCCGGCCCGGACACCGUAAGGAUUGACAGAUUGAUAGCUUUUUCAUGAUUCGGUGGAUGGUGGUGCAUGGCCGUUCUUAGUUCGUGGAGCGAUUUGUCUGGUUUAUUCCGAUAACGAGCGAGACUCUGGCCUACUAAAUAGUUGGAGCAUUGCCGCUGUGCUCACACACUUCUUAGAGGGAUUGUCGGUGUUCAGCCGCACGAAAUUGAGCAAUAACAGGUCUGUGAUGCCCUUAGAUGUCCGGGGCUGCACGCGCGCUACACUGGCAAAAUCAGCGUGCUUGUCCUUGCCCGAGAGGGCGUGGUAAACCCGUGAAAAUUUGCCGUGAUUGGGAUCGGACAUUGCAAUUAUUGUCCGUGAACGAGGAAUUCCUUGUAGGGGCGAGUCAUCAGCUCGCUCUG
rnacentral:rRNA from 1 species